rnacentral:rRNA from 1 species
UACGUAGGGGGCUAGCGUUGUCCGGAAUCAUUGGGCGUAAAGCGCGCGCAGGCGGUUCCUUAAGUCUGAUGUGAAAGCCCACGGCUCAACCGUGGAGGGUCAUUGGAAACUGGGGAACUUGAGUGCAGGAGAGAAGAGUGGAAUUCCACGUGUAGCGGUGAAAUGCGUAGAGAUGUGGAGGAACACCAGUGGCGAAGGCGACUCUUUGGCCUGUAACUGACGCUGAGGCGCGAAAGCGUGGGGAGCAAACAGG